AACGCUUCCCAGUCUUUUGGCUAAGAUCAAGUGUAGUAUCUGUUCUUAUCAGUUUAAUAUCUGAUAUGUCCCCUAUAUGGGGACCAUAUACUAAAUAGAUUUUUUAAACAGAGUGAUGGAAAAAAAGCUUGCUCUGUCCACUCCAUGCAUUGACCUGAUAUUACAGUACCUCCAGGACCGGUGCGCCAUAA